GCCUACGGGGGGCAGCAGUGAGGAAUAUUGGUCAAUGGGCGGGAGCCUGAACCAGCCAAGCCGCGUGAGGGAAGAAGGUGCAGCGUAUCGUAAACCUCUUUUGUCAGGGAACAAAGGCGGGGACUAGUCCCCGGAUGAGGGUACCUGAAGAAAAAGCAGCGGCUAACUCCGUGCCAGCAGCCGCGGUAAUACGGAGGAUGCGAGCGUUAUCCGGAUUUAUUGGGUUUAAAGGGUGCGCAGGCGGCCUGUUAAGUCAGCGGUAAAAACCCGGGGCUCAACCCUGGCGAGCCGUUGAAACU
rnacentral:rRNA from 1 species